AGAGUUUGAUCCUGGCUCAGAACGAACGCUGGCGGCGCGCCUAAUACAUGCAAGUCGAGCGAGAAGGUGUAGCAAUACACUUGUAAAGCGGCGAACGGGUGAGGAAUACAUGGGUAAUCUACCAUCGAGUGGGGAAUAACCAGCCGAAAGGUUGGCUAAUACCGCGUACGCCUCCGAAUCUUCGGGUUCGGAGGGAAAGCCACGCUGUGAGUGCGGCGCUCUUUGAUGAGCUCAUGUCCUAUCAGCUUGUUGGUAGGGUAACGGCCUACCAAGGCUUUGACGGGUAGCUGGUCUGAGAGGACGAUCAGCCACACUGGCACUGCGACACGGGCCAGACUCCUACGGGAGGCAGCAGUAAGGAAUAUUGCGCAAUGGGCGAAAGCCUGACGCAGCGACGCCGCGUGGGGGAUGAAGGUCUUCGGAUUGUAAACCCCUUUCGGGAGGGAAGAUGGAGCGAGCAAUCGUUCGGACGGUACCUCCAGAAGCAGCCACGGCCAACUUCGUGCCAGCAGCCGCGGUAAUACGAAGGUGGCAAGCGUUGUUCGGAUUCACUGGGCGUACAGGGUGUGUAGGCGGUUUGGUAAGCCUUCUGUUAAAGCUUCGGGC
rnacentral:rRNA from 1 species